rnacentral:tRNA from 1 species
UACUAAAUAAUUAAAAAAAAACAUUGGUCUUGUAAAUCAAAAAUAAAAUUAUUUUUUUUAAAAC